GGUGAACAAGGAGGCCAUGUCAUUAGAUUUUCUUCUUUUAUACCAUUUCUUGCCAGCCACGCUGUGGAGUACUUGGACGCGUGUGAUGGAGCAUUGUCCUGCAUGAAAAUCAUGUUUUUCUUGAAGGAUGCAGACUUCUUCCUGUACCACUGCUUGAAGAAGGUGUCUUCAGGAACUGGCAGUAGGACUGGGAGUUGAGCUUGACUCCAUCCUCAACCCGAAAAGGCCCCACAAGCUCAUCUUUGAUGAUACCAGCCCAAACCAGUACUCCACCUCCACCUCGCUGGCGUCUGAGUCGGACUGGAGCUCUCUGCCCUUUACCAAUCCAGCCACGGGUCCAUCCAUCUGGCCCAUCAAGACUCACUCUCAUUUCAUCAGUCCAUAAAACCUUAGAAAAAUCAGUCUUGAGAUAUUUCUUGGCUCAGUCUUGACGUUUCAGCUUGUGUGUCUUGUUCAGUGGUGGUCGUCUUUCAGCCUUUCUUACCUUGGCCAUGUCUCUGAGUAUUGCACACCUUGUGCUUUUGGGCACUCCAGUGAUGUUGCAGCUCUGAAAUAUGGCUAAACUGGUGGCAAGUGGCAUCGUGGCAGCUGCACGCUUGACUUUUCUCAGUUCAUGGGCAGUUAUUUUGCGCCUUGGUUUUUCCACACGCUUUUUGCGACCCUG